rfam:[Clostridium] celerecrescens strain 152B rep_c64, whole genome shotgun sequence.
UCUGGUGCCGAUGCGCUUAGGGGAGACACCCGUUCCCAUCCCGAACACGAUGGUUAAGACUUAAGCGGCCGAUGGUACUAUGCUGGAGACGGCAUGGGAGAGCAGGUGGGUGCCAGAU